GAAAGGACUAAGACAUACACAUGUGCUCACACACACAUCCUUUUGGUUCUGUUUCUCUGGAGAACUUCGAUGAAUACAAAUAAUAGUGUUUAAACUGUCAGGCUCCGCACAGUGGCUCACAUCUGUAAUCUCAGCACUUUGGGAGGCCGAGGUGGGUGGAUCACUUGAGUCCAGGAGUUUAAGACCAGCCUGGGUAACAUAUCAAGACCCCAUCUCUAAAAAAAUACAAAAAAUUAGCUGGGUAUGGUGGCAUGUGCCUGUAGUCCUAGCUAUUCAGGAGGCUGAGGUGGGAGAAUCACCUGAGCCCAAGAGGUUGAGGCUGCAGUGAACCAUGAUCACACCACUGUACUCCAGCCUGGGUGACAGAGUAAGACCCUGUCUCAAAAACAAAAACAGAAAAAAACAGUCAGUUAUUCCCAAAUUGCUUUAUAGAUUCAAUGCAAUCCCAAUCAAAAUCCUAGCAGGCUUUUGUAUAGAAAUUUAUAAAAUUUCUACAAAAUUAUUAUUUUAUGGAAAUUAUUCUAAAAUUUAUAAGAAAAUACUAAAGAUCUUAAAUAGCUAGGAAAAAAACGAGAAGAAAAUACCAUUACAUAAUUUAGAUGCCCUGAUUUCAAGACUUAAUAGUAGUGUUUACUUAAAAUCACAAAAUGUGUAAGUUUGGAAAGGAUAACUUUAUUUCUUAUAAAGGGUUGCAACCUGAAGACUUGGAGGCGUAGCCUCUGGCAGAGACUGAAAGCAGGCAUUUCGAGGGAGGGAGUGUGUUACAGGAGUCUCAUGCUUGGUCAAUUGGAUAGACAUACAUAUUUAACAGGUUACAGGAAGGGCUAUGAAUAUGCAUGAGGGGACUUUGCACGCAUGCAUAGUAAGCAAACGUGUUAUGUAUGUCCCAUGUUCACUUUGGGGGGAAACUUAACAUUAAAAUGCAGUAAAAUUAGGCUGUGCACAUCAAAAGUUAAAACGAAGGACACCCACGUGCUCUGUGUGCAGCCUCCGUGGACACGCCAGAGCCAGUCCGUGGUCAGCAGUCUCUUAU
rnacentral:lncRNA from 1 species